AGCGGCGCACGGGUGAGUAACACGUAUGCAACCUACCUACAACAAGGGGAUAGCCCGUUGAAAGACGGAUUAAUACCCUAUAACACAGGGGCUCCACAUGGAGAUAUUUGUUAAAGAUUUAUCGGUUGUAGAUGGGCAUGCGUUCCAUUAGCUAGUUGGUAGGGUAACGGCCUACCAAGGCAACGAUGGAUAGGGGAACUGAGAGGUUUGUCCCCCACACUGGAACUGAGACACGGUCCAGACUCCUACGGGAGGCAGCAGUGAGGAAUAUUGGUCAAUGGACGCAAGUCUGAACCAGCCAAGUCGCGUGAAGGACGACGGCCCUACGGGUUGUAAACUUCUUUUGCAAGGGAAUAAAGUGGCCCACGUGUGGGCUUUUGCAUGUACCUUGCGAAUAAGGAUCGGCUAACUCCGUGCCAGCAGCCGCGGUAAUACGGAGGAUCCGAGCGUUAUCCGGAUUUAUUGGGUUUAAAGGGUGCGCAGGCGGGAUGUUAAGUCGGCGGUGAAAUUUUGCGGCUCAACCGUAAAAGUGCCUUCGAAACUGGCAUCCUUGAGUAUGGACGAAGUAGGCGGAAUUCGUGGUGUAGCGGUGAAAUGCAUAGAUAUCACGGAGAACCCCGAUUGCGCAGGCAGCUUACUAAACCAUAACUGACGCUCAUGCACGAAGGCGUGGGGAUCAAACAGGAUUAGAUACCCUGGUAGUCCACGCAGUAAACGAUGAUUACUGGCUGUUUG
rnacentral:rRNA from 1 species